UACGGAGGGUGCAAGCAUUGAUCGGAAUUACUGGGCGUAAAGGGCGCGUAGGCGGUUUUGAAAGUCAGAUGUGAAAUUCCGGGGCUCAACCCCGGAGCUGCAUUUGAAACUUCAAGGCUAGAGUUCAGUUAGGGUAAACGGAAUUCCACGUGUAGCGGUGAAAUGCGUAGAUAUGUGGAAGAACACCGGUGGUGAAGACGGUUUACUGGGCUGAGACUGACGCUGAGGCGCGAAAGCAUGGGGAGCAAACAGG
rnacentral:rRNA from 1 species